UAGAGUUUGAUCCUGGCUCAGAUUGAACGCUGGCGGCAGGCCUAACACAUGCAAGUCGAACGGUAGCACAGAGGAGCUUGCUCCUUGGGUGACGAGUGGCGGACGGGUGAGUAAUGUCUGGGAAACUGCCCGAUGGAGGGGGAUAACUACUGGAAACGGUAGCUAAUACCGCAUAACGUCGCAAGACCAAAGAGGGGGACCUUCGGGCCUCUUGCCAUCGGAUGUGCCCAGAUGGGAUUAGCUAGUAGGUGGGGUAAYGGCUCACCUAGGCGACGAUCCCUAGCUGGUCUGAGAGGAUGACCAGCCACACUGGAACUGAGACACGGUCCAGACUCCUACGGGAGGCAGCAGUGGGGAAUAUUGCACAAUGGGCGCAAGCCURAUGCAGCCAUGCCGCGUGUAUGAAGAAGGCCUUCGGGUUGUAAAGUACUUUCAGCGAGGA
rnacentral:rRNA from 1 species